ACUCCUACGGGAGGCAGCAGUAGGGAAUCUUCCGCAAUGGGCGAAAGCCUGACGGAGCAACGCCGCGUGAGUGAUGAAGGGUUUCGGCUCGUAAAACUCUGUUAUUAGGGAAGAACAAAUGUGUAAGUAACUGUGCACGUCUUGACGGUACCUAAUCAGAAAGCCACGGCUAACUACGUGCCAGCAGCCGCGGUAAUACGUAGGUGGCAAGCGUUAUCCGGAAUUAUUGGGCGUAAAGCGCGCGUAGGCGGUUUCUUAAGUCUGAUGUGAAAGCCCACGGCUCAACCGUGGAGGGUCAUUGGAAACUGGGAAACUUGAGUGCAGAAGAGGAAAGUGGAAUUCCAUGUGUAGCGGUGAAAUGCGCAGAGAUAUGGAGGAACACCAGUGGCGAAGGCGACUUUCUGGUCUGUAACUGACGCUGAUGUGCGAAAGCGUGGGGAUCAAACAGGAUUAGAUACCCUGGUAGUCCACGCCGUAAACGAUGAGUGCUAAGUGUUAGGGGGUUUCCGCCCCUUAGUGCUGCAGCUAACGCAUUAAGCACUCCGCCUGGGGAGUACGACCGCAAGGUUGAAACUCAAAGGAAUUGACGG
rnacentral:rRNA from 1 species